ensembl:lncRNA
GGUUCAGGCCCUUUCCUGUGCUUUUCAGAUGUGGAUCUCAGAUAUGGCAGAGGAUUUCCAAAGGCUUCUGGGCUUCCUGGAAUGGGCUCUCCUUACCACCCAGGAGUGCUACGAGGGACACAGACACGGCUUGUUCUCUCUUUGUGCUGGGGGAAUGUCGAGGCCCAGGGAGAUGAAGCUGUUGCCUGGAAUCAUCUGGCUGAAGGAGACCCAGGCUUUCGGCUUUCAGCUCUGACUCCAUCCAUGGGCAGCAGGUCCUGCAGGCUCCUCUGCCCUGGGUCAGAACUUGAAGCUGAGGAGGCUGGUGCACUGUAGGCAGUAACACAUGAUCAAACUGCUUGAGGCUACCAUGAACUAAGCAGUUUUGCUUUGCCUCAUCCCUCUGCCAUGUUUUCUCUGCCUUGGAGCCAGCUGACCAUGGACUGAAACCAUUGAACCCACGCAGCAGGCUGAUGAGCUGGGAAGGUGGUGGAGG